rfam:Beta vulgaris subsp. vulgaris chromosome 5, whole genome shotgun sequence.
GAGUGCGAUCAUACCAGCACUAAUGCACCGGAUCCCAUCAGAACUCCGCAGUUAAGCGUGCUUGGGCGAGAGUAGUACUAGGAUGGGUGACCUCCUGGGAAGUCCUCGUGUUGCACCUC